UUCGGAACUCUAAAUUCUCGAGAGUUCCGAAAAUCAACUUCCGUUGAUCCUGAUCAUAACAACGUUUGUUUUCAUGGAAAAAAAAUAUGGCGACUAAGAAACACUUAAUGUCAACAAGAUUUUCUGAUUGACAAGAGAAAAGGUUAAACAGGAACUUCAAUUGUGAACAUUGCAGAGAACACACCCAUCAGAAGAUGACCCUCAGAAAUUGGACAAUUAAUGAAUGAAAAGGACAGAAGCAGAACUGAAGGAGAUGCAUGAAAUGAGGAAUAUUUCAAAGACUGCCUGAGCAUAACCUCUGCUACUGGAUAAACAUAUGGCAAUAUAAAAGAGCAGGGUCAAUGGAGGUAUCAUACAGUAUAGGCCAUGAGAGACUCUGAAGAAGAAAGUAUUGAACAGCAACAACAAUAAAACCAUUUUGACAUUU